rnacentral:misc_RNA from 1 species
AUAUCUCAAAAUGCUUUACUUUAUAAAGUCAAGUGUUUUUGGAUUUUGGGAGUUUAUUGCUGGCUUGUCUGUCAGCUCUCCUUAAAAGUAUUAGCUUUUUGGCACUUCUCUUUUUAACUGGUAUGAUAGUUAUCUAUGCCUGUAAAGUGAGAAGUGUAAAGCCUGUAAAUAUCCUGUAACA